AACGAACGCUGGCGGCAGGCUUAACACAUGCAAGUCGAACGCUCCGCAAGGAGAGUGGCAGACGGGUGAGUAACGCGUGGGAAUCUACCUGAUACUACGGAACAACAGAGGGAAACUUCUGCUAAUACCGUAUACGCCCUACGGGGGAAAGAUUUAUCGGUAUCAGAUGAGCCCGCGUAAGAUUAGCUAGUUGGUGGGUA
rnacentral:rRNA from 1 species